rnacentral:rRNA from 1 species
GACAGAGGGUGCAACCGUUGCUCGGAAUCACUGGGCGUAAAGGGCGUGUAGGCGGGUAGAUAAGUCGGGCGUGAAAUCCCUAGGCUCAACCUAGGAACUGCACUCGAAACUGUUUAUCUUGAGUGCCGGAGAGGAAAGCGGAAUUCCUGGUGUAGAGGUGAAAUUCGUAGAUAUCAGGAGGAACACCAGUGGCGAAGGCGGCUUUCUGGACGGUAACUGACGCUGAGACGCGAAAGCGUGGGGAGCAAACAGG